rnacentral:rRNA from 1 species
CCUACGGGAGGCAGCAGUGGGGAAUAUUGCACAAUGGGGGAAACCCUGAUGCAGCGACGCCGCGUGAGUGAAGAAGUAAUUCGUUAUGUAAAGCUCUAUCAGCAGGGAAGAAAAUGACGGUACCUGAGUAAGAAGCCCCGGCUAACUACGUGCCAGCCGCCGCGGUAAUACGUAGGGGGUAAGCGUUAUCCGGAUUUACUGGGUGUAAAGGGAGCGUAGACGGCAGUGCAAGUCUGGAGUGAAAGGCGGGGGCCCAACCCCCGGAAUGCUCUGGAAACUGUACGGCUGGCGUGUAGGAGAGGGAAGUGGAAUUCCUAGUGGAGCGGUGAAAUGCGUAGAUAUUAGGAGGAACACCAGUGGCGAAGGCGGCUUACUGGACUGUAACUGACGUUGAGGCUCGAAAGUGUGGGGAGCAAACAGGAUUAGAUACCCCUGUAGUC